rnacentral:rRNA from 1 species
AGAGAAUUUUCCACAAUGGACGAAAGUCUGAUGGAGCAACGCCGCGUGAACGAUGAAGGUCUUCGGAUUGUAAAGUUCUGUUGUCAGGGACGAACAAGUACCGUUUGAAUAAGGCGGUACCUUGACGGUACCUGACGAGAAAGCCACGGCUAACUACGUGCCAGCAGCCGCGGUAAUACGUAGGUGGCAAGCGUUGUCCGGAAUUAUUGGGCGUAAAGCGCGCGCAGGCGGCUAUGUAAGUCUGGUGUUAAAGCCCGGGGCUCAACCUCGGUACGCAUCGGAAACUGUGUAGCUUGAGUGCAGAAGAGGAAAGCGGUAUUCCACGUGUAGCGGUGCAAUGCGUAGAUAUGUGGAGGAACACCAGUGGCGAAGGCGGCUUUCUGGUCUGUAACUGACGCUGAGGCGCGAAAGCGUGGGGAGCAAAC